UACGGGGGGGGUAAGCGUUGUUCGGAAUUACUGGGCGUAAAGGGCUCGUAGGCGGCCAACUAAGUUGGACGUGAAAUCCCUCAGCUUAACUGGGGAACUGCGUCCGAUACUGGAUGGCUUGGAUUUGGGAGAGGGAUGCGGAAUUCCAGGUGUAGCGGUGAAAUGCGUAGAUAUCUGGAGGAACACCGGUGGCGAAGGCGGCAUCCUGGACCAAUAUUGACGCUGAGGAGCGAAAGCCAGGGGAGCAAACGGG
rnacentral:rRNA from 1 species